AAAAAAAUGACGGUACCUAAUAUAAGCAUCGGCUAACUCCGUGCCAGCAGCCGCGGUAAUACGGAGGAUGCAAGCGUUAUCCGGAAUCAUUGGGCGUAAAGCGUCCGUAGGUGGCAUUUCAAGUCUGCUGUCAAAGACCGAAGCUCAACUUCGGGAAGGCGGUGGAAACUGAAAAGCUAGAGUGAAGUAGGGGUAGAGGGAAUUCCUAGUGUAGCGGUGAAAUGCGUAGAGAUUAGGAAGAACACCAGUGGCGAAGGCGCU
rnacentral:rRNA from 1 species